GACGAACGCUGGCGGCGUGCUUAACACAUGCAAGUCGAACGCUGAAGCCUGGCUUUUGUUGGGUGGAUGAGUGGCGAACGGGUGAGUAACACGUGAGUAACCUGCCCUCUUCUUUGGGAUAACGCCCGGAAACGGGUGCUAAUACUGGAUAUUCACUUGCCUUCGCAUGGGGGUGGGUGGAAAGGGUUUUUUCUGGUGGGGGAUGGGCUCGCGGCCUAUCAGCUUGUUGGUGGGGUGAUGGCUUACCGAGGCUUUGACGGGUAGCCGGCCUGAGAGGGUGACCGGUCACAUUGGGACUGAGAUACGGCCCAGACUCCUACGGGAGGCAGCAGUGGGGAAUAUUGCACAAUGGGCGCAAGCCUGAUGCACCGACGCCGCGUGAGGGAUGGAGGCCUUCGGGUUGUGAACCUCUUUCGCUCAUGGCCAAGCCGCAACUCAUGGUUGUGGUGAGGGUAGUGGGUAAAGAAGCGCCGGCUAACUACGUGCCAGCAGCCGCGGUAAUACGUAGGGUGCGAGCGUUGUCCGGAAUUAUUGGGCGUCAAGGGCUUGUAGGCGGUUGGUCGCUUCUGCCGUGAAAUCCUCUUGCUGG
rnacentral:rRNA from 1 species